rnacentral:rRNA from 1 species
GAUGAACGCUGGCGGCGUGCCUAAUACAUGCAAGUCGAGCGAACAGACGAGGAGCUUGCUCCUCGGACGUUAGCGGCGGACGGGUGAGUAACACGUGGAUAACCUACCUAUCAGACUGGGAAAACUACGGGAAACCGGAGAUAAUACCGGAGAAUAUAUUGAACCGCAGGGGGGAUUGGAGAAAGACGGCGGUGCGGGCACUUAUAGAUGGAUCCGCGCCGCAUUGGCUAGUUGGUAGGGUAAAGGCUUACCAAGGCAACGAUGCGUAGCCGACCUGAGAGGCUGAUCGGCCACCCUGGAACUGAGCCACGCUCCAUACUCCUACGGGAGGCAGCAGUAGGGAAUCUUCCGCAACGGUCGAAAGCCUUACGCAGCAACGCCGCGUGAGUUAUGACGGUCCUCGGAUCGUAAUACUCUGUUAUUAGUUAAGAACCAAUUUGUACUUAACUAUGCCCUUCUUGACGGUACCUAAUCAGAAAGCCCCGGCUAACUACGUG